rnacentral:rRNA from 1 species
CGGCAACAGCUCAAAUUUGAAAUCUGGCCCUCGUGGUCCGAGUUGUAAUUUGUAGAGGAUGCUUUUGGUGAGGUGCCUUCCGAGUUCCCUGGAACGGGACGCCAUAGAGGGUGAGAGCCCCGUCUGGUUGGACACCGAGCCUCUGUAAAGCUCCUUCGACGAGUCGAGUAGUUUGGGAAUGCUGCUCAAAAUGGGAGGUAUAUGUCUUCUAAAGCUAAAUAUUGGCCAGAGACCGAUAGCGCACAAGUAGAGUGAUCGAAAGAUGAAAAGCACUUUGAAAAGAGGGUUAAAUAGUACGUGAAAUUGUUGAAAGGGAAGCGUUUGUGACCAGACUUGGGCUCGGUUAAUCAUCCAGCGUUCUCGCUGGUGCACUUUGCCAGCCCAGGCCAGCAUCAGUUUGCUGCGGGGGAUAAAAGUUUCGGGAAUGUGGCUCCUCGGAGUGUUAUAGCCCGUUGCACAAUACCCUGUGGUGGACUGAGGUUCGCGCAUCUGCAAGGAUGCUGGCGUAAUGGUCAUCAACGACCCGUCUUGAAACACGGACCAAGGAGUCGUCUUCGUAUGCGAGUGUUCGGGUGUCAAACCCCUACGCGUAAUGAAAGUGAACGGAGGUGAGAGCUACGGCGCAUCAUCGACCGAUCCUGAAGUUUUCGGAUGGAUUUGAGUAAGAGCAUACGGGGCCGGACCCGAAAGAAGGUGAACUAUGCCUGUAUAGGGUGAAGCCAGAGGAAACUCUGGUGGAGGCUCGCAGGGGUUCUGACGUGCAAAUCGAUCGUCAAAUAUGGGCAUGGGGGCGAA